CUACGGGAGGCAGCAGUGAGGAAUAUUGCACAAUGGGGGGAACCCCGAUGCAGCAACGCCGCGUGGAGGAUGACGCAUUUCGGUGUGUAAACUCCUUUUAUAUGUCAAGAAAAUGACGGUAGCAUAUGAAUAAGCACCGGCUAACUCCGUGCCAGCAGCCACGGUAAUACGGAGGGUGCAAGCGUUACUCGGAAUCACUGGGCGUAAAGGACGCGUAGGCGGGUUGGAAAGUCAGGUGUGAAAUCCUACAGCUUAACUGUAGAACUGCACUUGAAACUUCUAAUCUAGAGUAUGGGAGGGGGAGAUGGAAUUAGUGGUGUAGGGGUAAAAUCCGUAGAUAUCACUAGGAAUACCUAAAGCGAAGGCGAUCUCCUGGAACAUUACUGACGCUAAGGCGUGAAAGCGUGGGGAGCAAACAGGAUUAGAUACCCGUGUAGUC
rnacentral:rRNA from 1 species